rfam:Otolemur garnettii contig044424, whole genome shotgun sequence.
UCUGGGCUCAGAGGCAUGAGCCUGCAGUCCCAGUUACUUGGGAGGCUGAGGUGGGAGGAUCACUUGAGCCCAGAUCAAAAGAUUUCUGGGCUACAGGGUGCUAUGCUUUCUGGUGUCUGCGCUAAAUUCGGCAUCUAGGUGGUGACCUUCCAGGAUUAGGGGACUACUAGAUUGCAUAAGGAAGGAUGAGCGGGUCUGGAUAGGAAAUGGAAGUAGAUCAAAACUCCAGUGCUGAUCAGCCAUGGGAUCGUGCCUGGGAAUACCCACUGCACUCCAGCCUGGACAACAUAGCAAGACCCUAUCUCUA